rnacentral:tRNA from 1 species
GCGGGCGUGGCGGAAUUGGUAGACGCGCGGGAUUUAGGUUCCCGUGGCCUCGGCCGUGGGGGUUCGAGUCCCUCCGCCCGCACCA